GACGAACGCUGGCGGCGUGCCUAAUACAUGCAAGUAGAACGCUGAAGAAGGAGCUUGCUUCUCUGGAUGAGUUGCGAACGGGUGAGUAACGCGUAGGUAACCUGCCUGGUAGCGGGGGAUAACUAUUGGAAACGAUAGCUAAUACCGCAUAAGAGUAGAUGUUGCAUGACAUUUGCUUAAAAGGUGCAAUUGCAUCACUACCAGAUGGACCUGCGUUGUAUUAGCUAGUUGGUGAGGUAACGGCUCACCAAGGCGACGAUACAUAGCCGACCUGAGAGGGUGAUCGGCCACACUGGGACUGAGACACGGCCCAGACUCCUACGGGAGGCAGCAGUAGGGAAUCUUCGGCAAUGGACGGAAGUCUGACCGAGCAACGCCGCGUGAGUGAAGAAGGUUUUCGGAUCGUAAAGCUCUGUUGUAAGAGAAGAACGAGUGUGAGAGUGGAAAGUUCACACNGNGACGGU
rnacentral:rRNA from 1 species